rnacentral:tRNA from 1 species
GUAGUCACAGCCGAGUGGUUAAGGUGAUGGACUAGAAAUCCAUUGGGGUUUCCCGUGCAGGUUCAGAUCCUGCUGACUACG